rnacentral:lncRNA from 1 species
GAGGGUGUAGGUAUGUACCCUGGCCUCUGCCAGUCAGACUCACAUGCUAGGAGGAGCAGGGCCAGGCAGGAGAGCCGUGUCUCCUGGCAUUGGGGCUGCAGGAAAGACGAGCUCCUAGGCCACAGUGCCAGUGGCCAGUGCUGCUGCCUUGCAGGGUCGCACAGGCAGUGCUGGCUGUUUGGACUGGCUUGGCAGAAGGAUUUGAAGUAUUGUUCCUAGCCAACUGGACUCAAACCUGUUCCUCCAACCCUCUAGGGAUUCUCUUAUCACCCAGUAGCCUUUUCCCCCUAGUUUUAAAAAUUGCAGUAAAAUACACAAAAGAUAAAAUGUACUGCCUUAACCAUUUUUAAGUGUACAAUUCUGUGGUAUUGAGCACAUUUAUAUUGUGCAACCAUCACCACAUGCAUCUUCAAUAGCUUUUCAUCAGUCCUUGUCUGCAUAAAUCAGCUAGAGUUGGUUUCUAUUGAUUGCCACCAAUAAUCUUGACAGAUAUGUCUGAUCUUCCUUCUCUGCACUGACUCCUCUUUCUCUGUCUCCUCUGCUGAUUCUUUCUCCUCAUCACAACUCCAAAUAGCAGGGGGAGGGUUGUUUACACUUAUAUUCAGCACGCCCUCACGCACUCGCCUGGCUCUUCAGACCUCUCCCCUGAACUCCAGAUUCAUACAUCCAGCUGCCCUUUAGGCCUCUAGAAAGCUAAAUACCUCAGUAUCAAAAACAUGAGAAACGGAAGCCAGAGUCCUGGAUCUCUCGCCCUUUCGCUGUCCCGGUGCCCAUGCCCUUCAGGGAUGGCACCUAGACCAGCUCCCUGCAUCCCUGCCUAGACUCUGCAGUAGUCUCACGUGGCAGACCCGGAGGUCACUCUCCUCUCUGGAUGCCCUGCGGACACUCCGGUUAGCCUCAGCUGCAAGAGCCUCCUCACCCAAGGUCACGCCAUUUCCAGGACAGCACCCUGGUGACUGAGCGAGGGAAGAAAAGUCAGAAGACCAGGACCUCCAGGGCCUCAAGGACAAACCCCUCAAGUUUAAAAAGGUGAAGAAAGAUAAGAAAGAAGAGAAAGAGGGCAAGCAUGAGCCCGUGCAGCCAUCAGCC